UUGGAGGGCAAGUCUGGUGCCAGCAGCCGCGGUAAUUCCAGCUCCAAUAGCGUAUAUUAAAGUUGUUGCAGUUAAAAAGCUCGUAGUUGAAUUUCGGGAUCAAUAUGUCGGUCGUGCCUUCGGUACGUACUGGUAUCAUUGGUCUCUCCUUUCUGACGAACCAUGAUGUCAUUAAUUUGGUGUUAUGGGGAGUUAGGACUGUUACUUUGAAAAAAUUAGAGUGUUUAAAGCAGGCUCACGCUUGAAUACAUUAGCAUGGAAUAAUGAAAUAGGACGUUUGAUUCUAUUUUGUUGGUUUCUAGGAUCGACGUAAUGAUUAAUAGGGAUAGUUGGGGGCAUUAGUAUUCAAUUGUCAGAGGUGAAAUUCUUGGAUUUAUUGAAGACUAACUACUGCGAAAGCAUUUGCCAAGGAUGUUUUCAUUAAUCAAGAACGAAAGUUAGGGGAUCGAAGACGAUCAGAUACCGUCGUAGUCUUAACCAUAAACUAUGCCGACUAGGGAUCGGAUGAUGUUAAUUUUUUAAUGACUCAUUCGGCGCCUUACGGGAAAC
rnacentral:rRNA from 1 species